CAGUUCGGAUUGUAGUCUGCAACUCGACUAUAGGAAGCUGGAAUCGCUAGUAAUCGUAGAUCAGCAUGCUACGGUGAAUACGUUCCCGGGUCUUGUACACACCGCCCGUCACACCACGAGAGUUUGUAACACCCGAAGCCGGUGGAGUAACCAUUUGGAGCUAGCCGUCGAAGGUGGGACAAAUGAUUGGGGUGAAGUCGUAACAAGGUAGCCGUAUCGGAAGGUGCGGCUGGAUCACCUCCUUUCUAAGGA
rnacentral:rRNA from 1 species